rnacentral:tRNA from 1 species
GGCACUGUAGCUUAGAGGUUAAAGCGCCUGUCUCGUAAACAGGAGAGCCUGGGUUCAAAUCCCAGCAGUGCCU